GUGAGACUGAUCUCUUGUGGCACGACCUGAGCGGGUUGUUUUCUCCACUGCCAGUCAAAAUCAGCAAUAAAACAUGAAGCUCAUAUCAUCAUAACAUUUUUGUUGUUGUGGACACACAAAACAAGCUAAGAAGUCUGUUGUGGAAUCAACAGAGCAUUGCCAGAAUUUAGAUUUACAUCUGAAGUAAACAAGAGCUCUGAGGAAAGAAGUCGCAUCUGUAUUUACACAAGAAUCACAAUAACAGGAAACAAUGUAUCAGCUCAA